ensembl:snoRNA
GCAUGGAUGAAUUCUGCACUAGCUUUUCUCAAUAGCUACUGCAGUCAGACACUAUGCCAGAAUAAAUUCCCUCUUUACAUUCUGAUUGGUGCGCUUUCCAUAUGCAAAUGGGCAUGCCCUUGGAAGUGGGAUACAU